rnacentral:rRNA from 1 species
AUUGAACGCUGGCGGCCGGCCUAACACAUGCAAGUCGAGCGGAGCUGCGGACGGGUGAGUAAUGCCUCGGAAUCUGCCUGGUAGUGGGGGAUCACGUCCGGAACCGGGCGCUCAUACCGCAUACUAUCAGAUGAGCCUCGGUCGGAUUAGCUAGUUGGUGGGGUAAAGGCCGACCAAGGCGACGAUCCGUACCUGGUCUGAGAGGAUGAUCAGUCACACUGGAACUGAGACACGGUCCAGACUCCUACGGGAGGGAGCAGUGGGGAAGAUUGGGAAAUGGGCGAAAGCCUGAUCCAGCCAUGCCGCGUGUGUGAAGAUGGUCUUCGGAUUGUAAAGCGCUUUAAGUUGGGAGGCGUUACCAACAGAAUAAGCACCGGCUAACUUCGUGCCAGCAGCCGCGGUAAUAC